GACGAACGCUGGCGGCAUGCCUUACACAUGCAAGUCGAACGGCAGCACGGGAGCAAUCCUGGUGGCGAGUGGCGAACGGGUGAGUAAAGUAUCGGAACGUGCCCAGUCGUGGGGGAUAACGUAGCGAAAGUUACGCUAAUACCGCAUACGAUCUAUGGAUGAAAGCGGGGGAUCGCAAGACCUCGCGCGAUUGGAGCGGCCGAUAUCAGAUUAGGUAGUUGGUGGGGUAAAGGCUCACCAAGCCGACGAUCUGUAGCUGGUCUGAGAGGACGACCAGCCACACUGGGGCUGAGACACGGCCCAGACUCCUACGGGGGGCAGCAGUGGGGAAUUUUGGACAAUGUGCGAAAGCCUGAUCCAGCCAUGCCGCGUGCAGGAUGAAGGCCUUCGGGUUGUAAACUGCUUUUGUACGGAACGAAAAGGUUUGGCCUAAUAAGCUGAGCUCAUGACGGUACCGUAAGAAUAAGCACCGGCUAACUACGUGCCAGCAGCCGCCGUAA
rnacentral:rRNA from 1 species